UGCGCGAGCACCCCUUCGGACCCUGUAGACUUCUUCUCGGCCGGUCGGGGAAAACACUCCUCGGACAGCCGGU
rnacentral:tRNA from 1 species